GAAACAAACAGUACAGUUUAAAUCCCAUUAUAGAGGUAUUGAGAGGAUGCGUUGGGAGCAGGCAAGAAGAAUUACCAUGGGAAAAUCUGAGAAACAUUUUUAAGGGGAUGAAGAAUAGGAAAUUAUCGUAAGACACACUGGGAGAGAUACUGCUCAUGUCAAUUGGAAGAGCAACAUAAAAACAUGAAGAUGGCAACAAGGGGCUACUUCUGGGCAUCCUGUGAGUCAAGAUGCUGAGACAUACAGUUUCACUUAUUUUUGACAUCCUGAAGGCAACUGGAUGUUUCAAGUUCAGAUGAUGAGAAAGGUCUCCAUAAAAUUCAAGCUUUGGGGUAUGAAAACAGUGUUCAAAUAAAGCUGCUAGAGGUGCUUUCAAACACUGCCAAAAACGAAGAUGACAUGAUGAUAAUCUAAUAGACUUGGAGCCAGCAUCUGACAGUGGUGUCUUUAAGAGUUGAUUGGGCUCCUUCCUCCUGAGUGGGUUUAAGUACCUAACAAAAGAGGCUUCAAGCAGUAUUCAGCUCUCUUGCCCUUCCGCUCUCUGCUAUGUGAAGACACAGUGUUCCUCCCCUCUCCCUUCUGGAAGACACAGCGACAAUGUGCCAUAUCGGAAGGAAGCAGAGAACAUCCCUCACCAAAUAAUCAAUCCUGCUGGUGCCUUAAUUAUGAACUUCUCAGCCUGCAGAACUCAUGAAGGCCAUCAUCGGAUGUGGGCUGAUUGAUCUUGGACUUCCAAGCCUCCAGAACUAGAACUACUCCACCAUCAUCUGAUGUGGUUCUGAUGGCUGUGUGUUUCUCAGCUUUAUCCUCAGCCUGUGGGUAAUUUAAAAUAAAUACUUUUGCAAGUGAACCAAUAGAAAUAUUUCACUGUCAUUGGGCAGAAAGCUAAAAACCUAAUUACGUUGGAAGUAGGAAGAGGAAGUAAGUAUGGUUGGAAGAGGUGGAGUCUGGUGCUGCCAGAGCAGAAAGCACAAAGAAGAACGUGCUUUUAGGUGGGUGCCCUAAGAGACAUGAUAAGUGAAAAAGGCCUAGAUGCCCCAAAUUGCAAAAGUAAUGAAAAAGACCCAGUGAUAAUAAUGCGAUUGGAAAGGAAGACACUGAUUUCUCACAUGACUGUGGCAAACUGUGAAGAGUGAAAAUUCCAGAAGACUUAAAUUGUCUAUAGUUUUGGCAUCUCUCCCUCUAUGUACUUGCUAUCUUUUUUUUGCUUUUAAGUCUGCUUAGUUACAACUGCAGACCACAGUAAAAUUAUAGAUUUGGAGAUGUUGGAAUGUUUCCUCAAAGAUAAAAGCCAAUUAAAAAAAUUUUAACAAAGAACAGAAGAAGCAAUCAAGAGUUUGUAACAAAUUAUUAGGAUUAAUAAAAAAUAUGCUUUGUAGCCC
rnacentral:lncRNA from 1 species